UACAUCAGCAUGCAUUGAGAGAAGAUGCUCCACCUGAGGAGGGUUGCCAGGAUAAAUAGGUGGAGAAGAAGAGAGGUGUGGAGAGGGAUUGAGGCGUUAUGGAGGCAUUGUUGGUUCUCCUACAAGUUGCUGUCUGAGCUGUUGGUUCUCCUGGAGAAGCUUUGGUCUUUACAUUGAACAUUGCUUCCUGGCUCUGGAGGGGAAGACAUGUGCUGCCUGGUCUCCAGGGUGAACUCCUCACACUGCUUCCUGGCACGUACCCGACUGUGCUUGUCGGAGGAGGAGCUCAGGGCCUCCGUGUCGCUGAGGACAGCUGUGGUUCCUUUCAGGACAGCCCUGCUCUUUGUUGUGAGUGUGACUUCUCGGCUCCAGUGUAGAACCCUCAUCCCACUAGCACAGCUCCUUCAUCCUGAUGGCAUAGACUUUCUGGCUUCCCCCACUGACCCUUGGGUCUUCCCAGCACGGAUCCGUAAAAGAGACUGGCGUGAGUCCUUCUUGUGGGCUCUGGACUUCCAGUUGGACUCGUGGAGGCGUUGUUCUGAGCUCUGGGUUUUUAUCUGGACUCAUGUGGGACAUUGCCGUGGGGUUUAGGCUCUUGACUAAAUAAUCUAUGUCGUUGGUGUUGCGGAUAGAUUUCCUGCAUUCUCCUGUGUUAACUUCCGGUGACCAUUAUAAAAAUAUUAUAAACUCUAUGUCCUGAUCUGAAUUGUUCUCUGUGUACAACCCCUGACUACAACACUGGCCUCCCCUUUUCUCCUUAGAGGUCAACACUCAGACCUCGGACUCCAAGGUCAAGCCCAGGGCAGUUCCCAACGCUUCCUUCACAAUGCCAAAUAAGCCCAGGAAUCCCAGGCUGACCUCCAGCCCAGCCUGCAUCCUUGCAGUUGCUGCAUUGCCAGGAAUGAAGUGGAAAGAGCAGAGCCUGGGCUGGGUGAGCCCCGCUGGCUGAGCGGCACUCAGGGACUUGGCUGAUUUGUUAUUUCCUUAGGAGCAUAGCACACCCCUAACAAGAGGCACAGAGAGCAAUCAGGGGCUGAAAUGGAUUCUCAAAUGAUGGAAGUGAGCAAUAGAGAUCAAUUAGUAGUAAUAGCACCAGCUGGAACAAAAAUCAUCAGCAGUCCAGCCACAGCCUUCCGUUCUUUGUGCCCAGCAAUGAGAAAGGUCCAGGAGCAAGAUCAGCCUCCGAUGCCUGUCCUGCUCAAAACCUUUAAUGGAACUGAGAGGAACUCAACCAUGGCUUCUCCUUUGUGCCACUAAAACAGGACCAGGAGAAGUCUACAUUCCCAGCUUAAGAAAUUUCAGACAUCACCUUGCAGCUGGGAGAGACUUGAUGGAGCAGGUGCCACUUGGUCCUAACCACCCCCAUGACUCACUUUAUAUGAUGUUUUAAUCUGAUGGAGCUGAUCUGUAAGCUGCUUAUGAUUCCCUGUUAGUGUGUAAUUUUCCAGGCCUGGCACUGUGUCUGAUCAUUUCCGGAUCCCUCCACAGUGCCUGCCACAUGGGCGUGCCUCCUUUGGCUGUCAAUAAAUGGAGCUGAUUGACGGUCGCACUGGAGCCUAAGAAGUCAUUUUCUGCUCGGUUGCCUCUCAGGAUCCAGCUGUGUCCAGCUGGAGCCGGCCCUCUGCUCACUUGCCUUCUCUGGGAGCACAGACCCAGGUUUCUUAGCUCGCCUGUGCAUGAUGAUAGAGUGAAUUUCACCGCGGAGCUCUCCUACCCCCAGCUGCGAGGAAACCAGAAGGAGGAGUGGAAUGGCACAUCCCAAUCUGCCCAGAGCCGCAGACCUCCUUCCCCUGCUUAUAUUCAUCUGCCGAACCUCCGGUAAUGAAAAUUCCCCAGGUGUGGGCACAGUCUCUAGCUGCAGCUUGUUGAGGAGGGAGCACUGUAUCAGCCAGCUGUUCCCAUAGCAGCUCUUCUGAGCCUCCAGCCUCUGCUGCCUCCUGCCUGCUCCUCUUUCUUCCUCUGCCUCCUCCCUGAUGGUGCCUGUAAAUCAAGCAUCUCUUCUUAAAAUUGUAAUCACCAAAAUAAGGCGGUGAUUUAUAAGGAAUUCUGAAAUACCAAACAAUCAGCUGAAUACUUCAGUUUAAUGGCAACAAUAAGUCAAGUGCUUUCAUGCUCGUCUCAGGAGGGGGAAGCGCAUGGGUCUGGGUUGUUUCCAGAUGACAAAUGCUCUUUUGUGAGUUGUAACAGAUCAAUUAUCCACAUGUUGAAAACUGAGCAACUCCUUCCUAAGGACAUACUUAUAUGGAUACGUUAAAAAAAAAAGUCCCAGGGAAAGAGAGGACUGAGGACUCUUUAGUUAUUUUUCUGGCAAAAUAAAGUUGAAGAAACUAUAGCUCUAAGGAGAAAGCUGCACGAAAUGACACCAAUCAGCAGUACAGGUGCCCUAUGCCUUUGGAAGGUGCCCGCAGAAUACUCAGAGCCUGCUUUUUAUCCAGCCUGGGCAGGUGACAAGGAGUCAGUCUCUACCUGCGGUGGCACUUUGACUAGAAACUUCUGGUUCCCCGAAGAGCCCGGGGGGUGGUCACUCCUCAAGUUCUCUUUGGGCACAUUUGUCUAUCUUGUGUUUUUCAUUUUAAGAAUUGCUUCAUUUUCCAUGAGGAAGAAGUCUUACCUCAGCCGUUGGCCUUGGGAUUGGAACCCGGGUUAUCUUGCUAUCUUGUUAUACGUGGCCCGAUCUCUUGGGGUGCCCAGACAGGCUUGGGUGCCUUUUCCCAGGUUCUGUUUCCCACUUUCCCCACAAUUUGCCAACAAUAAAACAGAAGGGCAUCUGCUGAAAGUGUCUCCUGUCAAAGCAGGUGGGGCUCAGAGCCAUCCCAGGCCUUUGCCCAGCUGGUGGGUUUGCUGGAUUUGAGGCCUUGAGAAGGUCAUGCUGUCAGGAUUCCCAAGGUUGCUGUUGUCCCAGUUCCUGGGGCUUUGGCCACACCUGGUGCUCUGAGUGCCCUUCGGGGCAAUACAAGGCCAAGGCGAGCUUGGCAAACUGGAGCUUAUCACAACUCUUGAGGAUGGAUGGUUUUCUUACUGUUCUGCCAUGAAUGCUUAAGGGACAAUGAUUCCUUUGAAUAGAAGCAGAAGAAAAGACCCAUAAGCAAGGGUUGAUGCAUAACUGGGGCUGGGAGUGGAUACCCUGGCUGUAGUGAAAAGUGUCCAGGCAGAGGAGGAUUCCACAGGAGUAGUGGUGACAUUUGGGCCUUGCAUCUUGGGUCAUGCCCAGCUCUGUCCCUCUGAAGAGGGCAGAAGCCUUUGUGGACAUGUAGCCUGUAGCAUAGCUAUGGCUUUGGUAUUAGGUUUUUUGUCCAUGCUGCCCACUGUCCUGCCGGCCUGUCCUCUGCCACUUUCUCCUGGCCCAACCCCUCUGCUUGGCUUAGUUUAGCAGAUUUCCCUUGCUCUCCUUUUCUCUUUUUUCCUCAAACCCUGGCUUUCAUUGGUAAGUUUCUCUCUCUCUCUCUCUCACUCUCUCCUCUCCUGUAGUCCUCCCCAACCCCUUUCCUAUUUCUCAGCCUUGCUAGUUUGGAUGCUCUGUGGGUGACUAUUCUGGUCCAUUCUUUAGGUCAUCCAUCCACGCAGCAAUUGUUUGGAGGACUUUCAGUGUGAAACUUCAAUACACACACAAGAAAGUGUACUUUGUGAGGUAUUGCUUGGAGGUAGGAUAGUCAGGGACACUUCUGUGAAGAAGCAGGUUUUAGAACUGAGACCUGAAAAAUGAGGAGAAAUUCAAGAACAGGGACAAAAGUGGCUCAAACAAAGGAACAUAAUGUGCAAAGGUCUUUAAGAUGAAAACAGCUUAGAGGGUUCCAAAAACUAAAAGAAAGAAAAAAAAAUUUUAAAUCAUAGCACGGGUGCAUGACAAUGUCCUGCCCCACUUGGGUGAAGCUUUUCUAUCCCUUCUGCUUGGAAGCUGUUGCUCAGGUAGCCACAUGGGUGUCUCCUUUCUAUUAUGUUCUGUGACAUCUCCUUCAUACUCACCGGCCCUUACCCAAGUGUGUGUGUGUGUGUGUGUGUGUGUGUGUGUGUGUGUGUGUAGGUGUACCCAUCACUAAGUAAUGUUAUUUGGUGGAUUAAUUCUUGAUAAAUGAUUUUUCUCAUUAUAAUAGAAACUACAAAAAGAGAAAUCUUAUAUUAACAAGUUAUCAUAUUCCCAGCAUCUGACAAAUGACACUUACUACAUACUUUAUGAAUUAAUGGAUGAUGAAUGAUAGUUUAAAAAAAACCACAUUGGUAAGGAAAUGCCAGUUCAUUAUAAUGAGGCACCCACAGGAAAAUACUAAAAGAGAAGAGAGGAUGUGUUAGAGAUCCAAGAUAUUAAAAGGAAAAAAGUAUGUAAUGAGCAUUUUGUUUUUUUUUUUUUUUUGGUACUGGGAAUUGAUCUCACAACCUUGUGUUUGCCAGGUAGGCAAUUAUGCCACUGCGCUAAAUCCCCAGCCUGUAAUGAAUAUAUUCAUUGUGUGAACACAAAUGUACUUAAGCUCCUUGCUCUGAGGUGGGCUAGCAUUUUUCCUGUUUGCAUUACAAACUUGCCUAGCUUCUCUUGCCACUUUGAGAUAAUAAAUACAGACACAUUCCACAAAAGGUGUUCCUAAUAUUUAAGCUUUCAAGUUCUCAGUUUGUGCAGUUCUUGUUACUGGUUACAAAAGCUCCAGUGAACAACUCCAACCUGCACACAUGGAUACCUUUCCCAUGACCAGACUCUUCCAAAGGAGUGUGUCUCAAUGCUUUGUGCUUGCACAAAGCAUUUCUCCCCUCUAUGUGAGGGGAGCACACAUAAUGGAAAGUCACCCCGAACUAGGUUAUGCAUAGAUCUUUGUUGAACAAUCAAUCUUUGUUGAACUCAUGCAUUCCUUUUGCUGUUUAUUCCAUAAAUUUCUAGUUGUUAUUUAUAAAACAAGCACUGUGCCAUUGUCAGACAGAACAAAACAAAAACAUCUAAGCACUUGGAGAAUAAAACAAGCCGGAAAGCAGAAAUGCUCAUUGGGCGAUUAGAUGUUGGGACUGAUGGAGACAGGGAGCCUGAGGUGAUACUAGAUUUAUGGCUUAGGGGACGGGCAGUGGUUUGUGUCAACAAGAGUUCAGUCAGAGGAGUAGAACCAUGAGAAGAUCUUUCCAUUGAUCACUCUUAUCUAUUCAUCUAUAAAUCUGUGUUGAUCAGCUUUACUAUGACAAAUAUCUGAGACAAUACAUAUUUAAAGAAAAAAAGGUUAAUUUUGGCUCACAGUUUGCAGCUUUCAGCCCAUGAUCAGAUGGCCCUGUUACUUUGUGCUUGUGGUGGCGAAUCAUGAUGGAAGCACGUGGGAGGGCCAAACUGUGCAUCCCACAACUGCAGAGCAAAGAGACAGAAGAGGAAGGGACUGGGGUCUUGUAAUAUUCUGAAUGUAUAACUCCAGUGAGGCCCCACCUUAGUUUCUGCCACUUCCUCUGCCUUAGUACAUUGACUUUUGGGGGAGUGCUUAAGAUCCAAAACAUGUCUGACUGUCUAUCUAUCUAUCUAUCUAUCUAUCUAUCUAUCAUCUCUACUUGGCUAUGGAUUUGGAUAUAUUACAGGGAUUUGACUUACACAACACAGAGCUAAUGUGCACCUGGCCCAGAAGCGAGAGAUACUGAUGAGAAAACCAGCAGGGGCUGGCGGAGUCACCUGCCUGGCUGCUGCCCCACCCCGAGAGGUGGACCAGUGGAUGGGCCACAGAGUCCCUGCCGCCCCACAGCAGCUUUCUGAGAGUAAAACCUAAACCAUUCUUACUGCACUACUGUCUUCCAAGCCUCAUGUGGCUCAUGCUCACCUCGGACUUGGCAGGGAAGGUAACCUUGGGAGACCCGUUCUAGCCUAGCCAAGCUGCUAAGUCCUUAUAUGGCGUAGAUGCAGUCACAGCCGUGAGUGAGAUGUUCAAGGACUGUGUCAAGACAGAAAAGAUCGUCCUUCAAAGGAUGAGCAGAGGAUAGAAACCUACUGUGGAGAAGGGGAAAGAGGAAUCAGAGGGUUAAGGAGAGAACAGAGAGAGGGAUAGAGCUUCAGGGUCUAAAUAUCUGUGGGGAGGUGGAUCCCUAAGUGAUGACCGUGACACUGAAUUUAAUCACUGCUACCUGUGACAUUAAUCAGUCAGAAUGGAUGCUGGCCUGUGAGGAGGUCUUAGGGGCCCCAUCAUCCCACCAUGAGAUAGUUCUGGGGGUGGUGAUGGUGAGCACUGGGUAGACAGGGGCUCUAUACCAAGCUGUAUGGCAGCCACUCUGCAUUUUGACAGCUACAGUGUCUGCCCUGGUGCAGAUUAGCUGAUUUUCAGCUCUGUUCAUAGCUAAUACUGACGGAAUGCCUCCCAAGGGCCGGGUGCUCAGCUCAGCACCUGGAGUCUGUGUGAUGCUGCUGCUGCCCUGUGUCCUUGGUCCUGUCCUGACUGCCUCUGGGAGGAGUCGGAAUCUCAGAUCCUGGCAGAGCCAAGUGUCACGAAUGACAUGGGCGAACAUCUGCUGCCAUGGCAUGCACCACUUUAGCAGGAGGACAUAUUUUUGGGAGGCUCCACAGGCCCUGUUCUAUGCAGGGAGGAACAUUUAAACACAGCAGCUGUUUAUGAAUGCCAGGCUGCUAACUGGGACAGUGAGAGGAGCAGCUGCCGUGCACUGUGGCCAUUUAGAAUGACAAAGGCAACAUUAUCUAGCUGUUGGAAUUCAGGGAACUGUUUCUGCGAGGCAAAUGGAAUCUGAACUCAUAAAACCUAUAGAUAUUAGGGGUCAUUUUGGUUCCUGUUUUAUGCGUUCACCCCCGGUACAAGGUCUGAAUGGGCUGCUCACUCAGAAAGAACCUGCAGGCCACUUCCUUUGGCUGCAUCCUCCGGGCACAGUAAGAGCAGCCUGUCCGCUCCUUGACCUCUACCCCGCUCCCGGGCACUCAGGAUUUGUCCUGCCACCAUUCCAGUUUCAGAAACACUUCCAAGAGGUACCAACAUAUUUUUGUCAUACUAGUAUCUCAAAUGAUCUAGGUAUUUGUGCUGAAUAGUAUGACCAGAUUGACAGAGAGAUACACCCAAGAUUGUCCCAUUCUCAAGUAGUCUGCCGCCAUUUGCCUGACGUUAGCUACUGCCAGGGUCAGUGGGUACAGGUCACACUUUCCCAUGAAAGCCAUGCAGCCUCCGUCUGGUCACAAGCAUGGCUGGCACCUGCGCCACUGACUGUGUGUCUUUGAGGGGGGAUGAGGGGUAGGCAUGGAGGGGAGGAUGUGGGAGCUCUUUGCCUCUCAUCUCGGCCCCUGGGGGCCACAUGAAGCAGGUGACUAUUCAGGUGGACCAGUGCGUGUCGUCUGCUGUGUGGGGUGUGCCAUUUGACGACAUGUGCUCUUUCUGCGUGUUCCUCCCUUGGCGGUCAGCCAACCAUGGCAAAUUGGAUCUAGAAUUGUAGCUUUCAAGAGGUUUAUUCACCACUCUGAAGAUCUGAAUUGGCAGUGUGGGUUCCUUGCCAAUGAGUAGCAGUGUCUUCUUAGUCACGCAUGUGAAAUAGCAGACUCUGGAACCAGAAGUGAGAAGGGGAUCCUGCGGGGAUUGUGACACAGAAAAGAGGAAGCUGGCGCAGCUGGCCCAGCGAGGAUCGGGUUGACCCAAGUGAGUGAAGCAGGAGCCAAGCUUGGAUAUUUAUCUUAACAGCUUCAAAGGAAAGACUGACAGCUAGUGUCUCAAACUCCCCAAAUCAACAGCUGGGGUUUAUACUGUUGGUCAAAAUGGGAUUUAAGUAAGGAAAAGAAAAAGAUGUAAUUCACUUUAUGUUUAGUUAUGUCUGAAGUUUGUGAUAAUUACAAAUUGCCAUGAUUGCAACCUCCUACACUGGUUAUGUUUUAUGACUUCCCUUGAUUACCUGAAACAUGUUUUAUAAUUCUUGAUGUUUGUAUACAAACAUUAAAGGUUUACAUCUCGGAUGGGUAAAAAUCGGGUUGUCAAAACAAUUUGAUAGGAAGACAGUCUUUAUCACUUUCUGUAGAAUAUCAGCUGAGAAAUGUAUCACUUAAGUGGAGCCAGAAUCUACUUCAGUUUUGCUGAAUCUGGUUCUCAAUCUGAUUUGUAAGCAAGCAGAUUCUUUAACUGCCUGGCUAGUAAAUAAUCUUUAUCCACCAGCUUCUCUUAUCAGCUAAGAAAAACAAUUUACAGUAUAAUGCCUGAAUAAACAAAAGUGAUGCAAGUGAUUUUGUUCAGUUUUCCUUUAAUU